GAUUCUGUACCCCACACGGCUUCUCCAGUACCCAGCUGGUACAGGGCAUUGUGGCCAGCAGCACUCCUUGGCCAGCAACUUCUCUUUAAACCCUCCAAAGCAGUAAUACAUUAGAGUGCUUCAGGUGAGACAUCUCUCUGUACAACAUCAUCAGAUACCCUGAGACAGAUUUCUGGCAGCUGUCAGAGGGCAGAUUUCUAGAAAGUUCCACUGGUGUGGUACCACAACUUGACUGCCAUUCUCUGAGUUGCUUCUAGUCUCUUUCAAUAAGUGACUGAUGACCGAUGAAGCAAAUGAGUUUGCUGCAGGGCUUGAAGACAAAAUGAAAAGUCCUGGAGAACCCGGCAGUCCUUUGUCAUCUAAGAGAAGAUUUUUCAUUGUUGGUGUACAGAAACACAACUGAUUUUUGUGUGGAUUUAGUAUCCUGCAACUUUCCAUGAAGACUCAUUUUAUAGUCCCAUGUACAUUAUUUUAAAAAAGAUUCACAACAUUGAGAAGGUACUAGAAAAAGUAAUUUUCACCAUCUUCACAACAAAGUUAAUUACAUCACAAACAUAGCCUGUUACCACAACUAUCUGUGAGAAACAAGGACCAGUUUGCUGUGCUGUGGAAUGGUGCUGGAUAUUGCUGGUUUCCUAGAAUGUGGCA